rnacentral:misc_RNA from 1 species
AAGUCGUAACAAGGUCUCCGUAGGUGAACCUGCGGAAGGAUCAUUAACACGUAUCCACGUUAACCACCCGUGCACCUUCAUCUUAUACCGUCGUUCCACGGAACUUCGAGCCACCCGAUUGUUCAUUGGGGUUCCUCUUGUGCAGUCUUGUUGGGAGACCGUGGGGGCUUUGCCACCAUAAUGCGUCUUCGGGAAGACGGCUUGAGGGCGUCGUGUGCUCAACGAAGUGGCUCGGAGCUUCUGUGUGCGUCUAAAAGUGGUUUUUUCCCACUGCUGCAAAACUUGACUAAACCCAACCAGCGCAAGCCUAACAAGCUGAGCGCCGGAAACCCCGCACAACUGUUAACAAUGGAUAUCUUGGCUCUC